UAACGCGUGAGGAACCUGCCUCAGAGAGGGGGAUAACACACCGAAAGGUGUGCUAAUACCGCAUAACAUAUGAGAGGGGCAUCCCUUUCAUAUCAAAGAUUUAUUGCUCUGAGAUGGCCUCGCGUCCAAUUAGCUAGUUGGUGAGGUAACGGCCCACCAAGGCGACGAUUGGUAGCCGGACUGAGAGGUUGAACGGCCACAUUGGGACUGAGACACGGCCCAGACUCCUACGGAAGGCAGCAG
rnacentral:rRNA from 1 species